GGCCAGGGGGAAAGAAAUGCUAUAUGUUAAAACAUUUAAUAUGGGCAAGCAGAGAGCUGGAACGAUUUGCAGUUAACCCUGGCC
rfam:Human immunodeficiency virus 1 pro gene for protease, partial cds, isolate: 00ZM4782.